GUCAUUAAUUAAACAUAUAUAUAUAAAAAACAAACUUAAUACACAAACCGGCAACUGAGGUACGAUAGUCAAAAAUUUCGCUCCGUUCCAUUUUAUAUUUUCUUACAAAUCUAAAAUCCUUUCCCCUUGAGCCAAUAAUAGUCAAGAAAAUAGGCGAACGUUUGAUAAAGCAUGUAUAGAUAAGAUAGAUAGAUAAAUAGAUAGAUAGAGAUAGAUAGUCACGUGUACGAUAACAGCCACUUGGGUACGAUAAUCUGUUAGGCAAUAUGAAUUAAUGACCUUUGUUUACAUCAUCAGAGAGAGAGAGAGAGAGAGAGAGAGAGAGAGAGAGAGAGAGAGAGAGAGAGAGAGAGAGAGAGAGAGAGAGAGAGAGAGAGAGAGAGAGAGAGAGAGAGAGAGAGAGAGAGAGAGAGAGAGAGAGAGAGAGAGAGUUUACCUGGGUUUCUCGCACCUGUCCAGUGAGCCCUUCCCUCGUUGGGGUUUACCGAGCUUACCUUCAUAAACAGCCAGUGAAGAAGAAGAAGAAGAAGAAGAAGAAGAAGAAGAAGAAGAAGAAGAAGAAGGAGGAGGAGA